GCGGCACCGGCACCGUGCGAGGACGACUGCGAGAUACGGCAUAUGCCGGUGGUAUGCAGGUUGGGAAGUCCAAGAUCAUAUCCCUGCUCCUUGAUAAGCGAACAAGAACCUCUGUUUCUCUUGCCACACUAGCAAGAUCCAUCAUGGUCGUCGUCCACCACAUCUGACAUGUUCAAGUGUUCAACCUUUUACUCGCCCCUUGGUUUGUCUUCAGCAUUAGCUCCUGCUGUGAAACAUGUGACGGCAGACUAAAGAGCCACAAGCAUAUAUGGCUUCAGAGAUGUGGAUGAUGUGUUCGAGGUAAUGCUCAACAAGUUGUAGUAAAGAUAGGCAUGAUGUAGUAAA